UACGGAGGGUGCAAGCGUUAAUCGGAAUUACUGGGCGUAAAGCGUGCGUAGGUGGUUUAAUAAGUUAUCUGUAAAAGUCCUGGGCUUAACCUGGGGGUGUUAGAUAAUACUGUUGGACUUGAGUAUAGGAGAGGGUGGUGGAAUUCUCGGUGUAGCGGUGAAAUGCGUAGAUAUCGGGAGGAACACCAGUGGCGAAGGCGACCGCCUGGCCUGAUACUGACACUGAGGCACGAAAGCAUGGGUAGCAAACAGG
rnacentral:rRNA from 1 species